rnacentral:tRNA from 1 species
GCAGUCGUAGUUCAGUUGGUGAGAACGCCUGCCUGUCACGCAGGAGGUCGCGGGUUCGAGUCCCGUCGACUGCGCCA